rnacentral:rRNA from 1 species
AUACGGAGGACGCGAGCGUUAUCCGGAUUCAUUGGGUUUAAAGGGUGCGCAGGCGGCCGUGCAAGUCAGCGGUGAAAGCCCGGGGCUCAACCCCGGAAGUGCCGUUGAUACUGCAUGGCUGGAAUGCGGUCGAGGCGGGCGGGACGUGGGGUGUAGCGGGGAAAUGCGUAGAUAUGCCACAGAACGCCGAUAGCGGAGGCAGCUCGCCAGGCCUGCAUUGACGCUCGGGCACGAAAGCGUGGGGAUCGAACAGGAUUAGAUACCCUGGUAGUCCACGCCGUAAACGAUGGGCGCUCGUCGUCGGCGACAGACAGUCGGCGGCCAAGCGAAAGCGAUAAGCGCCCCACCUGGGGAGUACGGUCGCAAGGCUGAAACUCAAAUGAAUUGGCGGGG